rnacentral:rRNA from 1 species
GACGAACGCUGGAGGCGUGCUUAACACAUGCAAGUCGAACGGAAAGGCCCAGCUUGCUGGGUGCUCGAGUGGCGAACGGGUGAGUAACACGUGGGUGAUCUGCCCCUAACUUCGGGAUAAGCUUGGGAAACUGGGUCUAAUACCGGAUAGGACAAUCGUUUAGUGUCGGUUGUGGAAAGUUUUUUCGGUUAGGGAUGAGCCCGCGGCCUAUCAGCUUGCUGGUGGGGUAAUGGCCUACCAAGGCGUCGACGGGUAGCCGGCCUGAGAGGGUGGACGGCCACAUUGGGACUGAGAUACGGCCCAGACUCCUACGGGAGGCAGCAGUGGGGAAUAUUGCACAAUGGGCGCAAGCCUGAUGCAGCGACGCCGCGUGGGGGAUGACGGCCUUCGGGUUGUAAACCUCUUUCGACAGGGACGAAGCUUUGGUGACGGUACCUGUAUAAGAAGCACCGGCUAACUACGUGCCAGCCGCCGCAGUAA